UCCUUCAUUAAUCAACUUUUCUUAUUAUUUAAAAGACCUUUCUGUGUUUGAGUCUGUGUAUUAUGCUGAGAAUAAGAUGCAAGUGUCUAAGAAUCUCAAAACAGGCACACCAACCCAGCUGAAAACAACAGGAUUUGGGCGUAUGGCUGGGAAGGGAAAGGCUGUACCUCAGCAGCAGUGCAUCUGCCUGGAGAGCAGCUGACAGUCAGUGCAGACGCUGCUGAUUGGAUGGAUCAAUGGUCUGACUCAGUGUAAGGCUGCUGCCUUU